rnacentral:tRNA from 1 species
AGAAUUUUAGGUUAAAAUAAACUGAAAGUUUUCAAAACUUUUUAUAUGUAAAGAUUACUUAGAUUCUG